UCCAAUGUCAUUUUUAUUUCCAUAAUUAUCCUCUCUUUUCAAACUUUUUUUUUCAAAUCACAAACCCUAAAUCUCGAUUUUCUACAUUUGCGAUUUAGCCAAAAUCCUUUCUCAUAUUCUCUCAUCACCGUGAAGGUUUCUCCGGCAACAAUCAACUUCGUUAUUCUGUUCGUUAUUCUCUCUUCUUCCUCUUCAUCUUCUUUCAUCUUCUUCCAUUAAUCCAUGUUUGUUCUUUAUCAACACCUUUCAUACAAUGGCGUUCAAAUUGUAACAAGUGGAAUUGAAUCCAAGUAUGUUUAUUGUUUUUUACAUCGAUUAUUCAAGCUUUUAAUCUUACAAUCCUAUGAAACUUGUGAUGUUGGUUACUCUCAUUCCUUUCAGCCGUCCAAUGAGAAACCCGAAAAUCUUCAGAAAAGUUUGAAGCUUGAGAGAGAGAGAGACAAUGGAAACAAGUGGUGGUUGGAGCCAUCCAUCCAAUGGUGAUGUUUGCGUUCCGAUUAGAGCAUCGACCAGCUACAUAAUCAAUCGCAUUGAUUUGGAGUUUCCUUUUGGAUUCUCCCAUUAUUGAAAGUUGUUACAAUCACGAACCCUAAAUCCAGAAUUAACACACACCUUUCUUUUCAUCCUUUGCCUCCUUACAGUUUUCUCUCUUUGAAAAACCCUAGAUCUCAUCUCUUUACAAUCAAAAGUGACCUGAAAUCUUCAAACGGAGCUCGCCGGAGAGUUGGCCGAAGGACGGACGGUGGUGGUCGGAGUAAAGCUAGAUGAGCAGAGCAGGGUGAGGAACUUGAAAGCAUUGCAGACUUUGGUUCCAAAUUCUAACAAGAUUGAUAAGGCUUGAAUGUUGGAUGAAACUAUUGAGUAUCUGAAGCAGCUUCAACUAAAAGUACAUACCCUUACCAUGCGAAACAGGUUUGGUUUGCCACCUAUUUAUGCACAAGAACAAGGAAUGCAAAGGCCCUUGAGCUAUCAACAAGAAACUUAAGCACACAUGUUGGCUUUACACGUAUCACCUUAGGGAUGAGCAAAUCGUUCCCGAUAACGGUACCAAACCGGUACCGGUACCGAAUUUACCGAACCAGGUACUUUUUUUGGUACCGAUUCGGUACCGACUUUUAGCAUUUUCGGUACCGAUUCGAUACCGACUUUCAGCAAUUUUGUUUUAACUUUAAUUUGGUGAAUUAUUAAAUGCAUGUGUUUUGUUUAUGAGAUUUCUGAACAUCGGCACAUUUAGAUGAUUAGUAUGAUCCUACUGUAGGAGGUAGGGUUAAUAAAACUGCAACGCUUUCGUUAAUUAAAAUGUUUUACGAGGUCUUAUGCAUAUAACUAUGCUUUGGGCGACUUUUGAGCCAUAUCCAUUUGGUAUAACCGAACAUCAAAAUGGCCAAGCGUAGCAAUGCGCACGGCACAUUCCACCAGGUAUAUUAUUAUUAUUAUUAUUAUUAUUAUUAUUAUUAUUAUUAUUAUUAUUAUUAUUAUUAUUAUUAAUUAAAUUAAAUUAAACUGUAUAUUAAAACACAACUAGUACCAGUUCUUUCGUAUGAUUGUUCCUUAAUCUCUAGAGCUGCGAACACUUUCAAGUUAGGUAGGACUCAUGUCAAUUGGUUUUGAUAUUUACUUUUGACCCAUUUAAUCAUUUCAGCUUUGUUUUCUUUAAUAGUGAAACAUAUAGCCCAGUUGACGCGUUUCGAUAAAGUACGAUUAUAAUUUAUCAUUUUUCAUUAUUAGGUUUAAUAUGUAAUUAUUUAUCAUAAGUAGUUACAUAUUUUGUUAUUGCAUCAUUCUUUAGACGAGCUUUUUGGUUUUUGAAGGCAACAAUUGCAUCGUGUGUAUAUACUAUUCUAAAAGAGUUAUAUAUAUUGUUUGAUAACUUUUUUCUCUUGAUAUUCUUUAGCCAAUCAAGUGAGUAAGGGCGGAGAAUGAGAUAAAUAACUUUUUCUUGGAGUUGGCAGCUGGCGGGUCCGAUGGAAUAAUUGGAGCUGAACUUGGAAACUUUGUGCAGAAACUAGAGAGGAUCGUUGGUUGUGGGGUCUGGAGCGCUCGAUGUCAGACGGAAGAUCAAGAGUUGACCGGGAAUCUAAUAUACAGUAGUUGUUACAAUUAGAAGAGAAAGAUGUAGUAUCAUCUGUUGCUACUGUGCUUUCUGACCUUUGUGGUCCUGGGAUUGGAUGCCUUUGGAGAAACUUCAUCCUGAGAUGUUACGAGAUAAGGCUGGUCGAGCGGGUCGGGUAACUGGUCAAAACUAAUAAUGAACCUUUCAAGAUAUCAGCCCCCGUUGCCAGCUGAUCAGGUGAAAGUGGCAACUGAGUUUUUGAAUCAAGGAGGGAAGCCACCAUCUACUUACCCCAUGUUGGAGCAUGUUUAUUUAAGCAAAAAGUCUUAAAGCUGGUGAUUCUGUUUUGUUUGUCAGGCUCUAAUUGGAGAUUUUGGGAUCUAUAUUGUUUCAUUUGAUCGACCUGGUUACGGAGAGAGUGAUCGGAUCCUAAACGGACGUUAAAGAGUUUUGCUUUAGAUAUGAAGAAGUUGUUGAUCAACUAGAACUCAGUCCCAAAUUUUUUGUGGUCUAGUUUUCUAUGGGCAGGCAAGUGAUUGGUCUUAUUUGAUCUACAUUCCUCAUAGCGAAGACACAAAAACCUUGGGGUUCUUAUUGGAUUUUGUGUAGAUGGUGCUAAUAAGUAGUGAUGGCUUGCAUCGUGGGCUGAUUUUCGUCUAAAGGGUGGCAAAUAGAAUUGGGUUAAACAAGUUGAGUAACAUGCCAAAUGCAAGCAAGUUGUUAGGCACAAGUUAAACCGGUUGGGUUGACUCGAAAACAUCAUGUAGAUGUACUAUUGGGACGUGCUCAAAUCUCUCAAAAUAUUAGGCUUAACAAAUCACACUUUAACGCUUCUAUGUUUAAACUAUUUUAUGUGUUUA